AAGUGUCAACAUGUGGGCAUCUCCUAAGAAACUCCUUAAAUCUUUCCCAUGCUUCAUACAAUGAUUCAUUAUCCAUCUGCAUAAAAUUAGUAAUAUCGGUACACAUUUU